UACCAGACUCCUACGGGAGGCAGCAGUAGGGAAUUUUGCGCAAUGGGCGAAAGCCUGACGCAGCAACACCGCGUGAAUGUUAAGCCCUUCGGGGUGUAAAGUUCUGUCAAUAGGGACGAAUUUUGACUGUACCUAUAAAGGAAGCACCGGCUAACUCCGUGCCAGCAGCCGCGGUAAUACGGGGGGUGCAAGCGUUGUCCGGAAUCAUUGGGCGUAAAGCGUUCGUAGGCGGCAAGGUAAGUCUGAUGUUAAAGCCCGGGGCCCAACCCCGGGACUGCUCUUGGAACUGCGCGGCUGGAGUGCAGGAGGGGCAGGCGGAAUUCCUGGUGUAGCGGUGAAAUGCGUAGAUAUCAGGAGGAACACCGGUGGCGAAGGCGGCCUGCUGGACUGCGACUGACGUUGAGGCCCGAAAGCGUGGGGAGCAAACAGGAUUAGAUACCCCCGUAUU
rnacentral:rRNA from 1 species